ACGGGAGGCAGCAGUGGGGGAUAUUGGACAAUGGGGGAAACCCUGAUCCAGCGACGCCGCGUGAGUGAAGAAGUAUUUCGGUAUGUAAAGCUCUAUCAGCAGGGAAGAAAAAGCGCAAGCAUUGACAGUACCUGACUAAGAAGCCCCGGCUAACUACGUGCCAGCAGCCGCGGUAAUACGUAGGGGGCAAGCGUUAUCCGGAUUUACUGGGUGUAAAGGGAGCGUAGGCGGUACGGCAAGUCAGAUGUGAAAGCCCAGGGCUCAACCGUGGGACUGCAUUGGAAACUGUCUAGCUAGAGUGCAGGAGAGGUAAGUGGAAUUCCUAGUGUAGCGGUGAAAUGCGUAGAUAUUAGGAGGAACACCAGUGGCGAAGGCGGCUUACUGGACGGUAACUGACGUUGAGGCUCGAAAGCGUGGGGAGCAAACAGGAUUAGAUACCCUGGUA
rnacentral:rRNA from 1 species